CCUACGGGUGGCUGCAGUGGGGAAUAUUGGACAAUGGGCGAAAGCCUGAUCCAGCCAUGCCGCGUGUGUGAAGAAGGCCUUCGGGUUGUAAAGCACUUUCAGUGGGGAAGAAAGCCUUGGGGCUAAUACCCUCGAGGAAGGACAUCACCAACAGAAGAAGCACCGGCUAACUCCGUGCCAGCAGCCGCGGUAAUACGGAGGGUGCGAGCGUUAAUCGGAAUUACUGGGCGUAAAGCGCGCGUAGGCGGUCUGAUAAGCCGGUUGUGAAAGCCCCGGGCUCAACCUGGGAACGGCAUCCGGAACUGUCAGGCUAGAGUGCAGGAGAGGAAGGUAGAAUUCCCGGUGUAGCGGUGAAAUGCGUAGAGAUCGGGAGGAAUACCAGUGGCGAAGGCGGCCUUCUGGACUGACACUGACGCUGAGGUGCGAAAGCGUGGGUAGCAAACAGGAUUAGAUACCCGUGUAGUC
rnacentral:rRNA from 1 species